GGAGACACAAGGAUUUGUUUCUCCGAAGUUCAUAUUUACCCCUGUGAAUCCUACGUCUCCGUUGAGGACCUUAUUGGAAUACGAGUCUAUUUCAACUCCCUUCCAACAAGCCAGGUCUCUUUCAACCACUUUCCUCGUUUCCACUAGUUGAUCUUUUUCCUUGCGGAGGUAAGAUCACAGCCCUCAUAAACGUGCCGCUACUCACCACACCUUGGGAGCUAACCGGCGACGCUUAG
rnacentral:lncRNA from 1 species